ACGUAGGGGACAAGCGUUAUCCGGAUUUACUGGGCGUAAAGCGCCCGUAGGCGGCUUUUUAAGUUGGACGUGAAAGCUCCCGGCUUAACUGGGAGAGGCCGUUCAAAACUGAGAGGCUAGAGUGAGGAAGUGGAGAGCGGAAUUCCCGGUGUAGUGGUGGAAUGCGUAGAUAUCGGGAGGAACACCAGUGGCGAAAGCGGCUCUCUGGUCCUAAACUGACGCUGAGGGGCGAAAGCGUGGGGAGCGAACGGGA
rnacentral:rRNA from 1 species